rnacentral:rRNA from 1 species
UCUGUACCCAAAAACAAAAGUCUUGGUUCUGAACCUAACAUUACCUGUUUCCAAAGUUAUACAUGCAAGCCUCAACACAACAGUGAGUCCGCCCACACAAAGUGGAGCCGACAUCAGACCAUAGAGCCUAAUCUAAUCAACAACGUCAAGUAACACCACACCUACACAGGAUCUCAGCAGUAACUAAUAUUAGGCCAUAAACGAAAGUUCGACCUAGCUAUGGACAACUAAAGCCGGUAAAACUCGUGCCAGCUACCGCGGUUAUACGAGAGACUUAAGAUAAUGUAAACGGCGUAAAAAUGGCCAAAAAAAAUCAAAAAAUUAAGGUUAAAACCAAACUAGCUGUCCAACGCAAAGACCAAAGGAAAAGCGCACACCUUAACGCACACGACAAUUCCAACCAUAAAAGCUGGGGGACAAACUAGGAUUAGAUACCCUACUAUGCCCAGCCGUAACAAGGCGGCAACAAACAUAACCCGCCCGCCCGAUUAAUACGAGCGAAAGCUUAAAACUCAAAGAACCUGACGGUGACCCACAUCAGCCUAGAGGAGCCUGUUCCAUAAUCGAUAACCCACGUUUAACCCCACCAACUCUUGCCACCCAGUCUAUCUACCGCCGUCGUCAGCCCACCCUGUAAAGGCACAAAAGUGAGCAAAACAGUUAAUGCACUAAAACGACAGGUCAAAGCGUAGCAUAUGAGAUGGAAAAGAAUGGGCUACAUUUUCUAUAAAGAACACACAAAAAGACAGAUGAAAAUUUUCCACAAGGUGGAUUUAGCAGUAAGGUGAGACAAAACCCUCACCUGAACACAUGCACUGGGACGCGUACACACCGCCCGUCACCCCCAUCCACCUAAAUCACACAAAACAAUACAUAAACCAACAAACCACUAAAGAUGGGGUAAGUCGUAACAUGGUAAGCGUACUGGAAAGUGCGCUUGAACAC